rnacentral:lncRNA from 1 species
CAUAUUUUUGCUCAUUUUUAAAUUGAGUUAGUUGUUUUUUACAUGUUGAAUUUUGAGAAUUCUCUCCAUAGUCAAGAUACAAGUCCUUUAUUGGAUUUCUGGUUUACAGAUUUUCUCCCAGGCUGGGUCGAAUUGGAGCUGCAGCCCCCGGCCUACGCCAGAGCCACAGCAACAUGGGAUCUGAGUCACGUCUGCAAGCUACACCACAGCUCAUGUCAACACCAGAUUCUUAACCCACUGAGUAAGGCCAGGGAUCGAACCUGCAACCUCGUGGUUCCUAGUCGGAUUCGUUAACCACUGAGCCACGAUGGGAACUCCGAGAUUGAGGAUUCUAAGUAUGAGAUCUCAAAGGCUCCCAUUCUAUAAAAUGAAGCCCAGCCAUCUCAAUAAACCAGUUAGUCCAAUAUCUUUUGUGUAGGCUGUGUUUUAAAAAAAUCUUGAUCUUAAAUCUGAUUGCAUGUUGAUUUUAUGGUAUUAAGUAGGACCCUUUUCUUCUCUGGAAACCGGCUGACCUGUUUGUAAUCUAACUUAAAUGUAACUUGCCCCAACAUAGAAAAAAUACUAAAGUAGGACCUAAAAUGUGCUAGUUAAAAAUCACAGUUAAGAAAACAUUUUAAAUUUGGAGUUAAAUUAUUUGUUAUUCAAUAGGCUUUAAUAUUUUGUUGUAUGUUCAUAUAUGACAGCUUGUGGAUAGACCAGCCAUAUUUUUUAAAGUUUAUUGUAACAAACACAUAAGAUUACCCUGUACUGCGUAUGUUUUAUUUUCUUUAUAAAUAUCAACUAUUCUUUAAAUUAGCUCUUAAAUUCUCAUCAUAAACCUAUAGGGUAAAUAAUAUUAUUGGCCCCUUUUUUAGAUGAUGAAACUGAGGCACAGAAUGGCCAGUCUUUGGUUCUGUUGUUAAAUCUUUUUCUGUUACCCUUUCCUCCCUCCUGUAAGGUGCUUUGUAACUACUAUGGGCCAACCCAGAUAAUCCAAUGUAUUGUUCCCACCUCAUAAUCCUUAGACACAAAUGCAAUCCCUUUUGCCAGGGAAAGUCACUUAUUCACAGGUUCUGGGGAUUAGAGCAGGGCUGUUUCUGGAAGACCAUUAUUCUGUCUACCAGUUUUACUUUAUUCCUACGGACCUCAGUUGUAAAUGAGGGCUGAACCAGGUGAUCUUUGAAGAUGCUUCCAAUUUUGAGAGCUCUGAAAUUUCCAAUCCUAUAUUUGAAUUCUUAUCGCUUUUAUCGAAAAUAAAGCUUUCACUGGAGUUCCUGUUGUGAAUCCGAUUAGUAUCCAAGAAGAUGUGGGUUCUAUCCCUGGCCUUGCUCAGUUGGUUAAGGAUCCAGCAUUGCCGUGAGCUGUGGCAUAGGCCGAAGACUCGGCACAGAAUCCAUGUUGCUGUGGCUGUGGUGUAGGCCCGCAGCUGCAGCUCUGAUUCCACCCUUGGCCAGGGAACUUCUAUAUGCUGCAGGUGUGGCCCGAAAAAGCAAAAAAAAAAAAAAAAAAA